rnacentral:rRNA from 1 species
UGGAGGGAUAAGAAGAGAGAAUGCCGGAAUGAGUAGCGAGAGGAAGGUGGGAAUCCUUCCGGCCGAAUAUCUAAGGUUUCCAGAGUAAAGCUGAUCUGCUCUGGGUAAGUCGGGGCCUAAGGAGAGGUCGCAAGACGUAUCCGAUGGACAACAGGUUUAGAUUCCUGUAUCGCAUAUAAACAGAACUGUGGGGACGCAUGUGGAAAGCAUAAGCCGGGAAUGGAAAGACCGGUACAAGCGAGGUAGGUGUGUGACAGGCAAAUCCGUCAUAUAAGCCGAAGACGUGAUGUGGAGCGAAAUUUAGUAGUGAAGUAUGUGAGCCAUGUGCCGAGAAAAGCCGCUAUUGUUUUAUAUGUGCCCGUACCGUAAACCGACACAGGUGGAUGAGGAGAAAAUCCUAAGGCCGACGGAAGAAGCAUUGUUAAGGAAUUCGGCAAAAUGACCCCGUAACUUCGGGAGAAGGGGUGCCCACUGAAUGGUGGGCCGCAGAGAAUAGGCUCAAGCAACUGUUUAGCAAAAACACAGGUCUAUGCGAAACCGAAAGGUGAAGUAUAUGGGCUGACGCCUGCCCGGUGCUGGAAGGUUGAGAGGAGAGGUUAGCGUAAGCGAAGCUUUGAAUUUAAGCCCCAGUAAACGGCGGCCGUAACGAUAACGGUCCUAAGGUAGCGAAAUUCCUUGUCGGGUAAGUUCCGACCCGCACGAAAGGCGUAAUGAUUUGAGCACUGUCUCGACAAUGCAUCCGGUGAAAUUGAAGUACCAGUGAAGAUGCUGGUUACCCGCGCCAGGACGGAAAGACCCCAUGGAGCUUUACUCCAGUUUGAUACUGGGAUUCGGUACUGCACGUACAGGAUAGGUGGGAGACUGAGAACUAUGGACGCCAGUCUGUAGGGAGUCGCUGUUGGGAUACCACCCCUGUAGUACUGUUUCUAACCAUCUGCCGUGAUCCGGCAGUGGGACAAUGUCAGGCGGGGAGUUUGACUGGGGCGGUCGCCUCCGAAAGGGUAUCGGAGGCGCUCAAAGGUUCCCUCAGAAUGGUCGGAAACCAUUUGAAGAGUGCAAAGGCAGAAGGGAGCUUGACUGCGACACCGACGGGUGGAGCAGGUACGAAAGUAGGACUUAGUGAUCCGGUGGUAUAAAGUGGGAUUGCCAUCGCUCAACGGAUAAAAGCUACCCUGGGAUAACAGGCUUAUCACUCCCAAGAGUUCACAUCGACGGAGUGGUUUGGCACCUCGAUGUCGGCUCAUCGCAUCCUGGGGCUGUAGCAGGUCCCAAGGGUUGGGCUGUUCGCCCAUUAAAGCGGUACGCGAGCUGGGUUCAGAACGUCGUGAGACAGUUCGGUCCCUAUCCGGCGCGGGCGGAGGAUAUUUGAGAGGAGCUGUCCUUAGUACGAGAGGACCGGGAUGGACGGACCACUGGUGUAUCUGUUGUCGACCAACGGCAUGGCAGAGUAGCCAAGUCCGGAAGGGAUAAACGCUGAAGGCAUCUAAGCGUGAAGCCCCCCUCAAGAUGAGAUAUCCCUCCUUCGGGAGUAAGACCCCUUGAAGACUACAAGGUAGAUAGGGCAGAGGUGGAAGUGUGGCAACACAUGGAGCUGACUGUUACUAAUAGGUCGAGGGCUUGAA